rnacentral:sRNA from 1 species
GCCAGGUGCAGAGGCUCACAUCUGUAAUCCCAACUACUGUGGAGGCUGAGGCAGGAGGAUCGCAAGUUCAAGGCCAGCCUCGGCAACUUAGCAAGACUCUGUCUCAA